AGCGUCUAGGUGUUUUCUUUCUUUUGUUUUCAAUGAAUAAAUAUGUUUAUCUUUGCUUUGCGAUUAUGAGGAACUAAACCCCUUUUGGCUAGGGGGAGAUUCAAAGCCAUGAACAUGCUUGCAAUAUGAAUUGAUUAUCUUUGGUUAUGAUUUCAUAAAUUGUGAAUUCAAUUUGUUUAACUGCUUGAUUGAUAACUUAUUCUUGUGUGUUGAUUAAGGUGGCCAACUUAGUUUGCAUGCAUGAAUAUGAUGCUGGAGUAUAAGGGAGUUUCACCUAAUAGUUAUAAACUUAUAUUCACAAGUAGGGAAGGUCGCUUAUAAACAAUUGCGUUAAAUGAAUUCUUGGCAAAAGUUUCAUGCUCAUCGUAGUUAGAGUUGCCUCGUCAAUACUUAUAGUUUUCUUGAUGCGUAAUGAUCUUUGAUUGUAUCUCUAUUGUGCUUUUCAUGUAGGGA
rnacentral:lncRNA from 1 species